GGGACUCGGGAGAGCGGCAGUGAGGCAGAGACGGAGAGAGAGACGGAGCUGAGGAGAAGGGAGAGAGAGAGAGAGAGCGCGCGAGAGUACUUGGAUGGUUAUCUGCGCUCAGGGACGGAAAGCCACUCGCUCGGGGAGCGCGCCGAGCACCUGUCCGACUCGUCCAGACCACAUUCCCGCCUUCCCUCCUCAAGUAUCUACAAAACGCUGACUCUCCACUCAUCCACUGCUCAAGUCUCGGUCCUGUGACUGCGUUUUGGCUCGAUGUCUUGACGAUGACGGCUUACGGCUCACGGAAUUCAAAACUCCAGCGUCUCGAAAUAUUGGAACAGGACCGUGUUGAGACCAGACGCGAGUCUUACUACAGCCCUGUUGUGUUUCUUCUGUCGUCUUCUUCCUGCAGUGCUCCUGCCAAUCUGACCCACUUUAAUUCACAAAAUCUCGAAGGCUACUGUUCUCAGCUAUAGAUAGAAUUUGCUCUGACCUGCCUUGCAAGAGGAGGAAAAAACCAAGAGUAUCUAAGGUCGUGUCCCUCUGUAAGGAAGCGGAACAAAGAGGACGACACAGUCAAAAGUGU
ensembl:lncRNA